GAGCGGGAAACGUGGCACAGAAUCACACAUGUCGGAGAGUGGCCUCAGACUACGCCGUGUUAAUUGUGUUUUAACCCUGUAACCACUGUAUGAUCGUGAAUGGUUCGUCAGUCAUCCCGCUCUUGAUAGGGUGAGUUUUGGGACUGUUUGCUGCAGACAAAGCAUGUGUUCAUCUCUACUGGAAGAAGCUAGCUGAGUUAGCUUAGCUGCCGCCAUUGCGGGAGAGAAGUCGCCUGCAUUCUUGCCGGUACGGACAUCGGGAGUGGACUGGCGACCUGUGGAGCUUCAGUGGAUGUUACCGGUGUCUGUCGGGUGCUGAGGAAGGACGUUCUCGCUGUUGCUACGUAAUGCUGGGGAUCGUGCUACACAUCGCUGCCGUGUUGCUUCAGACCGAGAGACCGGAGCGGUCACAUCCCAAAAACCCUGGAUCCUGCACGUCCCAUAAUGCAACUUGAUAGCAUCUUUCAUUAGAUGCUCUCUGCCUGAUGUAGGUCAGACUCUACAGGCCAUCUGGUUUGGUGCUGUCACACUGAAUCUCAAAAGCAUCUGCUACAGCUGCUGACGAGACGUUCCUCUUCAUCUGAAGAAGUGAGCUUCCUGGAUUUGCAAGUGGAGUAGAUUCAGUGUCAACAUCUAUUAGGGAGCUGGUAAUUGAAACUGAGUGCUAAUAGACUCUUGGGCAAAUUGAAAAUACUCUCCAGCAGUUAAAAGUAUAGAGAAGUAAUUCACAGAUAAGAUACUUUGGAGACACUUGUGUACAUGCUUGCACAUUCACAUGUACACAGAUUCACAAGUAUUUCACUUGGAAGACUCAGAUUAUCUUAAUUGAAUUUGAAUCCUCCUACCAAUUCAUUCAUCAAGUUUACAUAUCAGUCUGCAUUAUCAAGCUCUGUCUAUGUAAAUGAGCUUGAUAGAAGGCCUCAUAAACACAAAUUUCUGUUUCACGCUCCCUAAUGAGCUUCUCUGUCAGUUAACCCCUUACGAGGCCUCACCUCUGCACACUGGCACAGAUGAGUGUGAUUUCACCCUUUGGUGUCACUGGCUGCCAUGAUGAAUUUGUUUGGCUGCAAUGGCUUCCUGACAUUACUUUUCUCUUAUUCUACUGAUUGGGCUGAUGUCACCAGGUUGGAUGUCAACACCAGUCUCGUUCUUCUCUCACUUCCUUGCUAGCUAGUGUUUUCUCUUUCCCAAAUUUGAUACCAUUUAAAACAACACAGUAAUUGUAGUACUGAAUUAACAAUUGCAAAUAAUAUUAGAAAUAAUUUACUAGCAAACUUAAAUUAAAAAUGUAUUAAGGUUCUGGCAGCCUUGAACAGCCUAUGGCACAGGUUUUUUUAAUAGAAGUCACAGUAUCUUUUCUGACACAACCACUGAGGGCUACCAAAGUCAGAAAUUCCAUGCAUAGUAGAUAUGAAUGAAAUGACCUAAAAUGACACAGCAUUUGAGUUAUUUUAUUCCAAAGUAUUGUGCAUCUUAGAUUGGAGAAUGAUACAUGCACUACUGUCUGGGAUAGUCUGGGGAAUCUGCCAGCAUGAAACUCUGACAGUUGUUUCUCCACACUCAUUAUUUGCCUGGAAAGGAUCCAUUUGUUCCUUAACUGUAUGAAAAAUUACACUGGUUCAUAAAAGUAAAUUUGA